AAUAUCAAUUAAAAAAAGUCAUCAACAACAAAGUUGAAUAACUCAUCAAGAUCUAAAACUUUUAUUUUGGUCAUUUCUUCAUACGACAAAGUGAUAGUAACAUUGUUCACAAAAUUGACAUAUCUCUUAUCUAGUUUUAUAAACUAUAACACAUAUAUGUAAAAUUUGUGAAUAAUAUUACUAACAUUUCGUCAGAUGAAGAAAUAACAAAAAUAAAAGUUUUAGAUCUUGAUGAGUUAUUCAACUUUGUUGUUGAUGACUUUUUCAAUUGAAAUC
rfam:Oryza sativa (indica cultivar-group) chromosome 3, whole genome shotgun sequence.